UACGUAGGGUGCAAGCGUUGUUCGGAAUCAUUGGGCGUAAAGCGCGUGUAGGCGGUCAUCUAAGUCGAGUGUGAAAUCCCUGGGCUCAACCUAGGAAGUGCAUCCGAAACUAGUUGACUUGAAGGGAGUAGAGGAAGGUGGAAUUCCAAGUGUAGAGGUGAAAUUCGUAGAUAUUUGGAGGAAUACCGGUGGCGAAGGCGGCCUUCUGGGCUUCUCUUGACGCUGAGACGCGAAAGCGUGGGGAGCAAACAGG
rnacentral:rRNA from 1 species